rnacentral:lncRNA from 1 species
UCGAGGUCGAAGAUAUAGAGGGACGCAAUUUUUAUACUUAGAGCAAUUUAGGCAAUUUUCCGUUUUUGUUAUCGAACUGCGACUCAACUAGGUUUUCAGGUCUUAGGUGGUUAGAACUAGGAUCUCGCCGACAGAUCUUACGCCUGAGGCCUUACCUGUUGUAAACGCUUAUACGGAAAUUUGGAAUAAGAUCUUCUUUGC